UUAAAGUUGUUGCAGUUAAAAAGCUCGUAGUUGAACCUUGGGCCUGGUUGGCCGGUCCGCCUCACCGCGUGCACUGGUCCGACCGGGUCUUUCCUUCUGGGGAACCGCAUGCCCUUCACUGGGUGUGUCGGGGAGCCAGGACUUUUACUUUGAAAAAAUUAGAGUGUUCAAAGCAGGCCUAUGCUCGAAUACAUUAGCAUGGAAUAAUA
rnacentral:rRNA from 1 species